rnacentral:rRNA from 1 species
AGAGUUUGAUCAUGGCUCAGAGCGAACGCUGGCGGCAGGCUUAACACAUGCAAGUCGAGCGGGCAUAGCAAUAUGUCAGCGGCAGACGGGUGAGUAACGCGUGGGAACAUACCUUUUGGUUCGGAACAACACAGGGAAACUUGUGCUAAUACCGGAUAAGCCCUUACGGGGAAAGAUUUAUCGCCGAAAGAUUGGCCCGCGUCUGAUUAGCUAGUUGGUGAGGUAACGGCUCACCAAGGCGACGAUCAGUAGCUGGUCUGAGAGGAUGAUCAGCCACAUUGGGACUGAGACACGGCCCAAACUCCUACGGGAGGCAGCAGUGGGGAAUAUUGGACAAUGGGCGCAAGCCUGAUCCAGCCAUGCCGCGUGAGUGAUGAAGGCCCUAGGGUUGUAAAGCUCUUUUGUGCGGGAAGAUAAUGACGGUACCGCAAGAAUAAGCCCCGGCUAACUUCGUGCCAGCAGCUGCGGUAAUACGAAGGGGGCUAGCGUUGCUCGGAAUCACUGGGCGUAAAGGGUGCGUAGGCGGGUCUUUAAGUCAGGGGUGAAAUCCUGGAGCUCAACUCCAGAACUGCCUUUGAUACUGAGGAUCUUGAGUUCGGGAGAGGUGAGUGGAACUGCGAGUGUAGAGGUGAAAUUCGUAGAUAUUCGCAAGAACACCAGUGGCGAAGGCGGCUCACUGGCCCGAUACUGACGCUGAGGCACGAAAGCGUGGGGAGCAAACAGGAUUAGAUACCCUGGUAGUCCACGCCGUAAACGGUGAAUGCCAGCCGUUAGUGGGUUUACUCACUAGUGGCGCAGCUAACGCUUUAAGCAUUCCGCCUGGGGAGUACGGUCGCAAGAUUAAAACUCAAAGGAAUUGACGGGGGCCCGCACAAGCGGUGGAGCAUGUGGUUUAAUUCGACGCAACGCGCAGAACCUUACCAGCCCUUGACAUCCCGGUCGCGGACUCCAGAGGCGGAGUCCUUCAGUUCGGCUGGACCGGAGACAGGUGCUGCAUGGCUGUCGUCAGCUCGUGUCGUGAGAUGUUGGGUUAAGUCCCGCAACGAGCGCAACCCCCGUCCUUAGUUGCUACCAUUUAGUUGAGCACUCUAAGGAGACUGCCGGUGAUAAGCCGCGAGGAAGGUGGGGAUGACGUCAAGUCCUCAUGGCCCUUACGGGCUGGGCUACACACGUGCUACAAUGGCGGUGACAAUGGGACGCUAAGGGGCAACCCUUCGCAAAUCUCAAAAAGCCGUCUCAGUUCGGAUUGGGCUCUGCAACUCGAGCCCAUGAAGUUGGAAUCGCUAGUAAUCGUGGAUCAGCAUGCCACGGUGAAUACGUUCCCGGGCCUUGUACACACCGCCCGUCACACCAUGGGAGUUGGUUUUACCUGAAGACGGUGCGCUAACCCGCAAGGGAGGCAGCCGGCCACGGUAGGGUCAGCGACUGGGGUGAAGUCGUAACAAGGUA